rnacentral:lncRNA from 1 species
AGGUUAAAAGUGAACAAAAAGAAAAUGAGGGGGGGGGGGGGGGAGGUAACAGUAAAAGAAAGGCAAACUCUGUUGCCCUAAAACUAUCCUAUAAAUAGCUCACUUUCCUAAACUCUAAAAAAGGAUCAUAAGAUAAGAAAUAGGAAACGGUGGAAAAACUCUCUAUAGCCUGAAAUUGGUUUUCUCUUUUGAAAAGGGUUCUGGAAGUAGUAUUUUUUUCUGAAAUUUUUACUUCUAAGCUGAAAUGAAGCUAGGUUUUGAGCCUGUCUGAGUUGGUUUUGUUCAUUGAUGUUUUGUUCCUGUUGGACCUGCUACUUCUUAGCUUCUUUAAGUUGAUUUUUUAAAGCUCUUUGGUUAAUUUUGCUGUAACAGGUAUGUAUUGUUGAACUUUUCAUGAUUUAUUUGAGCCAUAUAUAUGAAGCUUUGGAUUGUUUGCUGCUGCCUUUUCUUAGAUGUUAUAUGAGUAUGUGGACUGACUUAUAGAUGUUGAGUUUAUUUUGUGCUAUUCCCUUUCUUUUAUGUCUUUUAGCACUUUGGGAGUUUAUCUUAGAAUGUAUGUACUAGAUACUCAUUUAGUGUAAGAAUUCAUUCUAUGAGGAUCUUUUGAGGUGUAAUUUAAAUUGUAUGGUUUGUUUCUAAGCCUGAACUGCAGGGUGGUGCUAAUGGUGACUAAUAUUUUAGGUUAAAAAGGCGGUAUUUGGUUAUUAAGGGUUUUCAAUUGGAUUGUCAUUAAUCUCAGCAUGUUUUUUUUAAAAAUGAUUGUAUGGCUGAACUUAAGGUGAUAUUUUGAAUAAUCUAAUUGGUUCCAUCUUAUUUUUACUAAGUGUUGAUAAUGGUCAGAACCUAGCAUGUUAGACAUUUCAUGGGUAUAAGUCUAAUUAUGUAUGAUGAUGGGUUAGGCCUCAGCAGGUUUUUUUGGUGUGUCAAGCUUUUGGGCCUGACCAUGGCCCAAAUCCGGCUGCCAAGCUAUAGCAAGCCCUCUUGUGUUCCCACCUCCUUUUUAUUUUUUAGCCUGGGCUCGAUUUUGGGUCCUCUUUGCCAAAUGAUUUAAUUGUAGUUUGAUUUCAAUUCAUGGCUUUAGUUGAAUUCGAUUAGAUCUAUUUCCUUUCGUUCUUUUCUUGCCAAUCAAAUGAGCUUUCUUUCAUAAUAUAAGGUAGAUAGACCCAGACGUUGACUGAGGCCCGACUAGAAUAAGUGUGGGUGAUUUAGUUUGAAAUCUUGAUUUGGGCAGAAACUUGAGGCUCUCUUCUCUGCUGGGCUAAUUCACGAGCCCAAAUAUAGCUUUUACAGCUAAUUUGCGCAAACAAAGGGUCAUUGAAAGCCCAAAACAAUUUUUUUUUAAAAGUACAACUCCAGGCCCAGCCUCAUCAUUCUAGUUAAAAGUUUUCUUGAUUGAGCUUCAAAUUUAGUAUAUUUAAUCUUAAUUAAAAAAUGCAACCCUUUUUUUAGGUUAAAAUAAAUUGAGGUGUGCCAUAAGAACCCCAUUAAACCCAUUGACCCUCAUAAAACUAGUUAGCUUUUCAUAGGUAAUUUGAGGUGUGCCAUUUUCAUUAAAUACCCAUGGCCCUCAUGUAAUUAAUUCAAACCUUGUAAAAGUGAGGUGCGCCAUCAAUUAAACUUUCCAUGGCCCUCGUAAUUGUUGUUAAACCUUCAUAGUUGCUUUAGGCGCGUUAUUUAAUUAAUUCAAUCAUGGCUACGGGUACGGUUCCCGUGACGUAGUUGUAAUUUUAAUUCGGGUGUACAUUUCAUGUGACCCAAUUUCAAUUAUCAACAAUGUUAAAUAGAACGUGUCGCGAACCGCGGGUGUAUUUCAUGUAGCGUGGUUCAAGGCAUGUUUUAAAUAACGUUGAAUCUUCCUAAAAACGUUUUAAAAUAAAUAAAAACGGUUAUAAAGUUAAAAUGCAUAAUAGAUUUAAAAUAUAUAAUAAUUCGGAUAAUAGGACAAUUUUAAUAGUUUAAGCGACCGUGCUCAAACCACGGAACCCAGGAGUGCCUAACACCUUCUCCCGGGUUAAUAGAAUUCCUUAUCUAGAAUUUCUGAAUCACAGACUUAUAAAGUAAAGUCGAAUUUUCCUCGAUUUGGGAUUUAAAAUAAACCCGUGACUUGGGACAUCAAAUAAAUAUCCCAAGUAGCGACUCUACAAAUAAAUUAAAUAAUUCCAUUUCGAAUAAUGUCACUUUAAUUGAAAAAAACUCCCUUAUAUACCCCCUUGGGUGGUAAAAAUGGAGGUGUGACACCGAGGGAUCAACUUGCCCUUCUUUUCGAGCCUCAUAACACUCUUUAUGGGCGAAACUUUCAGCAGAACCUUCUCCCUAACCAUGUAAGCAAUAUCACGGACCUUCCUAUUGGCAUAUCUCUUCUGGCUAGACUACGUCGUGCGAAGCCGAGCCUGAAUCAAUUUAACCUUCUCCAAAGCAUCCUAAACCAAGUGAGUUGCCCAAUAGCCUAGCAUCACCCGGCUCAAACCAACCCGCAGGAGAUUUACCCUGCCUCCCAUAUAAAGCCUCAUAUAGAUCUAUCUGAAUGAUCGACUGGUAACUGUCGUUGUAGGCAAACUCUGCGAGCGGCAGAAACUGAUCCCAAGAACCCCAAAAUCAAUGACACAAGUGCGUAGCAUAUUUUCCAAUAUCUGAAUAGUACGCUUGGACUGUCCGUCCGUCUGAGGAGAAAUGAUGUACUCAACUCAACCUGAGUGCCCAACUCUCACUGCACGGCUCUCCAAAACUGUGAUGUAAACUGCGUGCCUCGAUCUGAAUUGAUGGACACUGUCAUGAUAUCGCCUAUCUAGGUACUAGGCAAGCCAACAUUUAUGAAUAACUCCAACAUUUAAAAAAAAAUAGAUUUAAGGCAGUUUAAAAAGCAACUUCUUAUAAAUAGGAUAGAAAGAUCCCAAACACAAUGCGGAUAAACUACUCCCGAAUCGGGGUGUCACACAGUACAUGAGCAUCUAAUGUCACAAGUUUGGAAUACACUAUCUAAGAUAGUCUGAAACUAGAUACAAUAAUAGGAAAGAUAUGGUAGGAUAAAACAAGGGCUACAAAGGCCGGGCAACUUCCUCGAAGACUACCAAGGAUAAACUCACAGAAUAUCAGCACCCACCGUGUCCAAAAAUACCUAGAUCUGCACACGAAGUGUAGGGUGUUGUUUGAGUACAACCAACUCAGUGAAUAACAAGACUAAGUAAGGAACUAAAGAUAGUGACGAGCUACACAUUUAAAGUUCAAUUUCAGUAAUCUCAAUAAGGAAAAAUAGGCAUGCUUUCAAAUCCGGUAAUGUAAGUCAAAUCAGUUUAUACAUGUGAAGUUCAAGUAAAAUCGGAUGUAAUAUCUCUUAGAAAUUUCAAUGCAGUGAUAUAUGACAGCUAAGUGGAAUAAUAAGGAAAUCAAAUGCAUCCUCUUAGAGCAAUAGUCACUCAGCCCUCUCAUUCACUCCAAUCUCACAAUCACUUAUUUCCUCACAGUCACUCGUUCCUCACAGCCACUCAUUCCUCUUAGCCGCUCGGCACGCAACACUCGUACUUAGUAGGUGCCUACGCUCACUGGGGGUGUGUACAGACUCUAGAAGGGCUCCUUCAACUCAAGCUCUAUAUCAAGCCAAUCAUGGCAUAAAUCAACGAAACAUGCUGCGGUGUGCAUCCCGAUCCCAUAAAUAUCCUCACAAUCAAGCCCUUGGCCUCACUUAGUUAUCAAUCUCUUUAGUUUCUCGGGCUCUCACUAAUCAUGAAAAUUAGCCCACACAUCAAUGAUAUGAUGUAUCAACAAGGAAAUAAUAGAGACUGAGAAAUGAUAUACGAGCAAAACUGAGACUGAGUACAAAUAGCAAUUAGCAGGUAAUUUAACAUUUCACACUUCCUCUGUGGGUCCUAACAGUACCAAAACAUAUCCUAAAUAUGAUUUUUAACAUAAUUUACAAUCAAAUUUCUAUAACACAUGGAGAGCAUAUAGCUAACAACAAGUUAUUCAACUUUACAAUUUCAUGGAAUGGACCAUGUCAUGAUUCCCAUUGUGCAUGCCCACAUGCCCGUCACUUAGCAUGUGUGUCACCUCCAAACCAAUCACAUUACACAUAAUUCGAGGUUUCAUAUCCUUAGAACCAGAUUUAGAAUUGUUACUUAACUCAAUCCAAGAAAAUCUCUACUCCAACACACCUUUGCCUCGCGAAUCGGCCUCCAAGUGCCUCGAAUCUAACCACAAACAAUACGAUACAAUCAACACAGGCUAAAGGAAUAAAUUCUACAAGAAAAUACGAGAUUAUAAAUUAAAAAAUCCAAAAUUGGCUCAAAGCCGGUUCCCGGGCCCACGUCUUGAAAUCAAACAAAAGUCACAAAACCUGGAAGCCCAUUCAACUACGAUUCUAACCAUACCAAAUUAAUCAAAAUCCGACACCAUAUCACCACUCAAAUCCCCAAAAUCAACUCUACAAUUCCCUAGCCUCAAACCUCCAAAUUACAUCUAAAAAACACACAAACUAGGUGGAAAAAUCAACGGGGAAACAAGAUUAUUGAUAAAAAACGAGCAUAAGGAACUUACCUAAAAAAUCUCUUCAAAAAUCCUCUCAAAAAUUGCCUAAGCCCGAGUUCAAAAUAUUAGAAAUUGUGAAAUUCUCAAAACCCUCAUUUUUAUAUGUUCUGCCCAGGAUUUCUGCUUUUGCGGACAUUUAGCCGCAUCUACGGUCCCUCAUCCACUUCUGCGGAAAAUCACUUAAUGCGACCAACCGCUUCUGCUGGUGCGCAUCUGCGCAAACCGAUUCCACUUCUACGGACCAAUGGCUCCCAAGCCAAUUCCGCUUCUGCGACCCCUGCCCGUAUAUGCGCAAUCGCAGGUGCGGAAAUCCCAUAGAACCUGCGACCUUUACUGAUAUCCUCCAAAUCCGCACCUGUGCACCACCUGCCGCACAUAUGGCAUCGCACCUACGGCCAAGACCCUCGCAGGUGUGAUCACAUAUGAAAUGCUACAAUUUCAGUAACUUCACAACUCCAAUUCUUGAUCCGUUAACUAACUGGAAUCAACCUGAGGCCCAUGGGACCUACCCCAAACAUAUCAAUAAGUCUUAAAACAUUAUACAAACUUAGUCGAAUCCUCAAAUAAACUCAAACAACAUAAAAAACAUAAAUCGCACAUAGAUUCAAGCCUAAUGAACUUUGAGACUUUCAAUUUCUACAACCGACGCCGAAACCUAUCAAAUCACGUCACGAUUGACCCCAAAAUUUGCACACAAAUGACAUCACGAACCUGCUCCAACUUCCAAAAUUGGAAUCCGACCUCGAUAUUCCACUCCCAGUGAAACUUCCCAAAAUUUAACUUUCGUCAUUUCAAGCCUAAUUCCACUACGGACCUCCAAAUCAUAAUCAGAACACGUCCCUAAGUCCAUAAUUACCCAACAGAGCUAACAGAACUAUCAAACUCUAUUCCGAAGUCGUUUACACAUAAGUCAACAUCUGGUCAACCAUUUCAACUUAAGCUUUGCAUUAUGAGACUAAGUGCCUCAAUUCACUCUGAAAUCCCUUUGGACCCGAACUGACUAACCUAAUAAGUCAUAUAACAACUAAAGCCCAAAAGAAGCAGUAAAUGAGAAAACGAGACAACAACUCUCAAAACGACCGGUUGGGUCAUUACAGUAGGCGACAAUCUACAACACACGCCUCGGGGUGUAGCACUUCCCUGGAUCCUAUGUGAACGUGGGAUGACUUGUGCACCAAGCUGCCUUUUUACUCAAGAGAUUGAAAAUAGUGGUGCAGGUUUGUUCUCUUGAAAUUGGCUCAUGAUAUCAGUUAGUGUUUCUGUCACGACCCAAAUUUUCCACCCUCGAGAACCGUAAUGGCGUCUACUGGUGAAAGCUAAGCAAGCCAAAUUAUUCUAAUUACUUUACCUUUUCUAGUUUUAAACCAUUAUCAGUGAUGAAUAGAUAUCAUGCAAAUAGCGAAAAUAAUUAAGCAGAAGACAAAAUCUGAUAAUUAAUCUUAAUACAAACUACAGAAGUCUAAAUACUACUCUACCCAGAAUUUGGUGUCACAGCUUCACAGACGGUCUAAUAAGACUACAUAUAAACUCUUAAAGAUAAAAUACACACUAUUUUUGAAAUGAGUAAAGGAAACAGGAUAAAGGAAAGAUAGGAGGUGACGCCAAGGCCCGCGGAUGCCUGCAGGACUACCUCGGGUCGCCUGUUGGACUGAAGGCAGCAACCUCACUGCGGUCCGAAAUUUACAACGCUGUGAUCUGCAUAAAAGAGUGCAGAGUGUAGUAUUAGCACAACCGACCCCAUGUGCCGGUAAGUGUCUAGCCUAACCUCGACGAAGUAAUGCCGAGGCUAGGACCAGACUACCCAAUAAACCUGUGCAGUUAUAUCAUAAACAGCGGAAAUAGAAGCAGAUAAUUGCAAUUAAAAUUUGGCAGGGGAAACAUGCUUCGGGGAAUAGCAAAUAACAGAAUAUCAAGAGAAUAUAAAGAAACAAAAAUCCAAUUACUAACACGGAUAGGGAAAACAAAUGUAGAGUUCACUUUCAUAUCACAUCUCGUUGCAGGUGUGCAACCCGAUCCCAUUUCAUGUAUCUCGUUGCAGGCGUGCAACCCAAUCCCAUUUCAUAUAUCUCUUUGCAGGCGUGCAACCCGAUCCUAUUUCACAUAUCUCGUUGCAGGCGUGCAACCCGCUCCCAUUUCACAUAUCUCGUUGCAUGCGUCCAACACGCUCCAAUUUCAUAUAUCUCGUUGCAGGCAUGCAACCCGAUCCCGUUUCAUAUAUCUCAUUGUAGGCGUGCAACCCGCUCCCAUUUCACAUAUCUCGUUGCAGGCGUGCAACCCGCUCCCAUUUCACAUAUCUUCUUGCAGGCGUGCAACCUACUCCCAUUUCAUAUAUUUCCGUGGCGGUGNNNNNNNNNNNNNNNNNNNNNNNNNNNNNNNNNNNNNNNNNNNNNNNNNNNNNNNNNNNNNNNNNNNNNNNNNNNNNNNNNNNNNNNNNNNNNNNNNNNNNNNNNNNNNNNNNNNNNNNNNNNNNNNNNNNNNNNNNNNNNNNNNNNNNNNNNNNNNNNNNNNNNNNNNNNNNNNNNNNNNNNNNNNNNNNNNNNNNNNNNNNNNNNNNNNNNNNNNNNNNNNNNNNNNNNNNNNNNNNNNNNNNNNNNNNNNNNNNNNNNNNNNNNNNNNNNNNNNNNNNNNNNNNNNNNNNNNNNNNNNNNNNNNNNNNNNNNNNNNNNNNNNNNNNNNNNNNNNNNNNNNNNNGCGUGCAACCCGCUCCCAUUUCACAUAUCUCGUUGCAGGCGUGCAACCCGCUCCCAUUUCACAUAUCUUCUUGCAGGCGUGCAACCUACUCCCAUUUCAUAUAUUUCCGUGGCGGUGUGCCACCCGAUCCCAUUUACAAAUCAACAAUAAUCACGAAAGAAUCCCGGCAAGGGAACAAUUAUAUUUCAACAACAUCCCGGCUAAGGAACAAUAAUAUCAAGACAAAUAUCCCGGCAAGAGAACAAUAAUAUGACAAUAACAUCCCGGCAAGGGAACAAUAAUGAUAAUAAUGUCCCGGCAAGGGAACAAUAAUGAUAAUAACACGUGAAGGGCAAUAAAUCACAACGAAGUCAUAACAAUUACAAUACAAGACUCACGGGCAUGCUUGACACCGACGUAUAGAUACUCGUCACCAUGCCUAUACGUCGUUAUCCACAAUUAACACGUAGCAAAUAAGACACGACUCCUAAUCCCUCAAGCUAAGGUUAGACCAAACACUUACCUCGAUGCCACGAACACAAUUCAACCCUCUACUAUCGCUUCACCUCGUGAUUCCACCACCAAUUCGCUCGUAUCUAGCCACAAGUUACUUAAUUACAUCAAUAAAUGCUAAAUGAAACAAUCAUAAUACAUGAAAAUAAGUUUUCUAAAAUUUUUUCCAAAAAGUCAAAAAUCGCCCCCGGGCCCACAUGGUCAAAACCCAAGGUUCGAACCAAAAACCGAUUACUCAUUCCUUCACGAACCCAAAUAUAUAAUUUCUUUUGAAAUCAGACCUAAAUCGAGAUCCAAAUCCCCAAUUUUUGAAAAACCUAGGUUCUACCCAAAACACCCAAUUUUCCCCAUGAAAAUCAUUGAUUGUGAGUUGAAAUCAAGUGAAAAAAUGUUAAAGAUUGAAGGAAACGAGUUAAAAUUGACUUACAAUCGAUUUGGAAGAAAGGUUGCCUUUGAAAAAUCGCCCAAGAGUGUUUUGGUUUUGAAAGAGUGUGAAAAAUUAAAGAUUUUCGGCUAAGUUAUAAAAUUGCAGGUUGCAGAUAUGGGAAUUGUGACCAGGGUUCGCAAUUGCGAACCCGGACUUCUGCUAAGUUCGCAUUUGCGACCAAGGGGGAUUCCAGGCAGUUGUCGCAUUUGCGACAGUCACUUUGCAUUUGCGAAGAAGGCAGCCCAGGCCACAUCUCGCAUUUGCGACGCAUUGCUCGCAUUUGCGAGACCUGCAGGCCUGUAGCAUACCAGCAAUUUCCUAAGUUAAAAUUUCACUUCGUGGCCUAUCCAAAACUCACCCGAGCCCUCGGGACUCCCACCCAAACAUAUACACCAACCUAAAAAUAUUAUACGGACUUGCUCGCGCAUUCAAAAUACUAAAAUAACAUUAACAACUAUGAAUUUAGCAUCAAAAUCAUGAAAUUUCUCAAGAACUUCAAAUUUUCCAUUUUCUCAAAAACGAUCCGAUUCACGUCGUUUCAAGUCUGUUUCUUACCAAACUUCACAGACUUAUCUUAAAUCACAUAUAAGACCUGUACCGGGUGCCGGAACCAAAAUACAGGCCUGAUACCAUUGAGUUUUAAGCUCAUUUCAUUUCUAAAACUCAGAAAUAAUUUCAAAAAACAAUUUUCUUUAAAAAUUCAUUUCUCGGGCUUGGGACCUCAGAAUUCGAUUCCGGGCAUAUGCCCAAGUCCCAUAUUUUCCUAUGGACCCUCCGAGAUCAUCAAUUAUGACUCCGGGUCCGUUUACUGAAAAUGUUGACCGAAGUUAACGUAAAUCCAUUUUACAGUCAAAAUUCAUCAUUUUUCACAGAUUUUCACAUAAUGGCUUUCCGGUUACGCGCUUGGACUGUGCAAGCUAAUCGAGGUGAUGCUGAAAGAGGUUUUUAGGGCCUCGGAACAUAGAAUUCAUUUUAAAACAAGUGAAAAGGUCAUCACAUUCUCCACCUCUAAAACAACCGUUUGUCCUCGAACGAACAUAAGAAGGAAGUACCUGAGUCGGGGAAAAGAUGUGGAUAACGGCUCCGCAUAUCGGAUUCGGACCCCCAGGUCGAUGCCUCAGCAGGCUGACCUCUCCACUGAACACUAACAGAAGGAAAACUCUUCGAUCUAAACUGACGAACCUACCAGUCUAGAAUAACUACCGGCUCCUCCUCAUAGGACAAGUCCUUGUCCAACUGGACAGUGCUGAAAUCUAACACGUGAGAUGGAUCGCCGUGAUAUUUCCGAAGCAUGGACACAUGAAACACUGUAUGCACGGCUGAUAAGCUCGGCGUCAAAGCAAGUGUGUAAGUCACCUCUCCCACUCGAUCAAGAAUCUCAAACGGGCCAAUGAACCUAGGGCUAAGCUUGCCCUUCUUCCCAAAUCUCAUCACGCCUUUCAUAGGCAACACUCGAAGUAAUACUCGCUCACUGACCAUGAAUGCAAAUCACGAACCUUGCGGCCAGCAUGAAUAUUUUUCCGGGACUGAGUCGUAUGAAGCCUAUCCUGAGUAAUCCUGACCUUGUCCAAUGCAUCCUGAACCAGAUCCGUAACCAACAACCGAGCCUCUUCCCACUCAAACCAUCCAACUGGAGACCGACGCCGCCUACCAUACAAAGCCUCAUAAGGAGCCAUUUGGAUACUCGACUGGUAACUAUUGUUGUAGACAAACUCUGCCAAAGGCAAAAACUGAUCUCACGAGCCUCCAAAGUCAAUGACACAAGCUCAGAGCAUAUCCUCCAAAAUCUGAAUAGUCCGCUCGGACUGCCCAUCCGUCUGAGGAUGAAACAUUAUACUCAACUCAACCCGUGUGCCCAACUCUCGCUGAACUACUCUCCAGAAAUGGGAGGUAAACUACGUACCUCAAUCCGAAAUGAUAGACUCGGGCACACCAUGAAUACAAACAAUCUCCCGGAUAUAGAUCUCAGCUAAUUUCUAGGAAGAGUAGGAGACUGCCACAUGAAUGAAAUGUGCUGACUUGGUCAGCCUAUCAACAAUAACCCACACUAUGUUGAACUUCCUCUGAGUCUGUGGGAGUCCAACAAUGAAGUCCAUAGUGAUCCGCUCCCACUUCCACUCGGGAAGCUCAAUCCUCUGAAACUAACCACCAGGCCUCUGAGGCUUGUACUUAACCUGCUGACAGUUCAAACACCAAGCCACAUAUGCAACAAUGUCCUUCUUCAUCCUUUGCCACCAAUAAUGCUGCCAUAAAUCCUUAUACAUCUUCGCGGCGCUUGGAUGAAUAGAGUACCGGGAAAUCUGGGCCUCCUCUAAAAUUAACUCUUGAAGCCCAUCCACGUUAGGCACACAAAUUCUACCCUGCAAUCUCAAAACUCCAUCAUCACCUAAAGUAACCUGCUUGGCACCUCUGUGUUGCACCGUGUCUCUAAGGACACACAAAUGGGGAUCAUCAUAUUGCUGAUCACGGAUACGCUCCAAUAAAGAGGAACGAGAGACCGUGCAAGCUAACACACGAUUGGGCUCAGAAACAUCCAACCUCAUGAACUGAUUGGCCAAAGCCUGAACAUCCAAAGCAAGCAGUCUCUCACCGAUCAGAAUAUAAGCAAGACUACCCAUACUGGAUGACUUCCUACUCAAGGCAUCGACUACCACGUUGACCAUUCCCGGACGAUAUAAGAUGGUGACAUCAUAGUCCUUUAAUAGCUCCGACCACCUCCUCUGCCUCAAAUUUAGCUCCUUCUGCUUGAACAAAUACUGUAGACUCUUGUGAUCUGUGAAUACCUCACAUGCCACGCCAUACAGAUAAAACCUCUAAAUCUUCAAUGCGUGAACAAUGGUUGCCAACUCCAAAUCAUGAAUCAGAUAGGUUUUCUCAUGAAUCUUCAACUGCCGUGAAGCAUAGGCAAUGACCUUACCAUCCUGCAUCAACACCACACCAAGUCCAAUAUGAGAUGCAUCACAAUAAACUGUAUAAGGCCUUGAACCUAUGGGCAAAACCAACAUCGGUGCCGUAGUCAGAGUUGUCUUGAGCUUCUGAAAGCUCGCCUCACACUCGUCCGACCAUCUGAACUGGUGACCCUUCUAGGUCAACCUGGUCAUAGGGACUGCGAUAGAUGAAAAUCCCUCCACAAACCGACGAUAGUAGCCUGCCAAUCCCAAGAAACUCCGGAUCUCUGUGGCUGAUGCUGGUCUAGGCCAGUCUUGACUGCCUCAAUCUUCUUCGGAUCAACCUGAAUACCCUCUGCUGGCACAACAUGACCCAGGAAUGCAACUGAGCUCAACCAGAACUCACACUUCAAAAACUUAGCAUACGAUUGACUAUCCCUCAAAGUCUGAAGAACCACUCUAAGAUGCUGCUCGUGCUCCUCCUGACUAUAGGAAUAGAUCAAAAUAACAUCAAUGAAGACUAUCACGAACGAAUCCAAGUAAGGCCUGAACACUCGAUUCAUUAAAUCCAUAAAAGCUGCUGGGGCAUUUGUCAACCCGAAUGACAUCACCAAGAACUCAUAAUGCUCGUACCGAGGGCUGAAAGUUGUCUUAGGGACAUCGAAUGCCGUAAUCCUCAACUGAUGGUAGCCAGAUCUCAAAUCAAUCUUCGAAAAAUACAUUGGCACCCUAAAUUUGAUCAAACAAAUCAUCAAUCCUCGGUAAUGGAUACUUAUUCUUGAUUGUAGCCUUGUUCAACUGCCGGUAAUCAAUACACAUUCUCAUCGAUCCGUCCUUCUUCUUAACAAACAACACUGGCGCACCCGAAGGCGAAAUGCUAGGUCUAAUGAAACCCUUUUCAAACAUGUCUUGCAACUGCUCCUUCAACUCCUUUAACUCAAGCGGGACCAUACGAUACGGCGUAAUAGAAAUGGGCUGGGUGCCCGGAGCCAAAUCAAUGCAGAAGUUAAUAUCCCUUUUGGGUGGCAUACCCGACAGGUCUGAAGGGAAUACCUUAGGAAACUCACGAACAACGUGCAUAGAAUCAAUAGAAGGAACCUCAGCACUAGAAUCACGGACAUAGGCUAAAUAGGCCAAACACCCCUUCUCGACCAUACGGCGAGCCUUCAUAUAUGAGAUAACACCGCGGGUAUAAUGACCAGGAGUCCCUCUCCACUCUAAACAAGGUAAACCCGACAAGGCUAAGGUCACAGUCUUGGCAUGAAAGUCCAAGAUAGCAUGGUAAGGUGAUAACCAGUCCAUCCCCAGUAUGACAUCAAAAUCAACUAUGUCCAAAAGUAACAAAUCUACACGAGUCUCAAGACCCUCAAUCACCACUAUAUAAGAACGACGGACUCAAUUUACCACAAUAGAAUCACCUACCAGUGUAGACAUAUAAACAAGAUCACUCAAAGAAUCACUAGGCAUGACCAGAUACAGUGCAAAAUAAGAUGACAAAUAGGAGUACGUAGAUCCCGGAUCAAAUAAAACUGAAGCAUCUCUGCUACAAACUAGAACAGUACCUGUGAUAACUGCAUCGGAAACCUCAACCUCGGGUUUGGCUGGAAGAGCAUAACAUUGGGGAUGGGCCCUACCACCCUGAACUACAUCUCUGGGAUGGCCUGCUAUUGGCUGGCCUCCACCCCUAGCGGCCUGAGCUCCACCUCUAAUACCUCUACCUCCACCUCUAUCACCUCUACCCAACCUCUAGCUGGCUGGGCGGGCUGUGGAACACUCGGUGCCUGAGCCAUGGCACGGGAACCCUGAUGCUGAGAGCUGCUCGAUGCUCGAGGGCAAUAUCUAGCAAUGUGCCUCAUGUCGACACAAGUAAAACAAGCCCUCGACUGCUGGGGCUGACGAGCCUGGAAACUCUGAAGCGGCGGUGUACUGAUAGGAGCUGGUGGUGCACUGUAGGUCUGCUGAUCCGAAUACUGCGUAUGAGAUCCACGUCCACCUGAAGCACCGUGAAAAUCCUGAAGUGCUGACUGAAAAGGCCUAGGAGGAUGGCCUCUACCAUAUGAAUCUCUGCCUCCAGACGAGGUACUACUGAAUUGGCCAGAAUGACGAGGCCUCUUGUCAGACCCCUAACCACCUCCCUGCGAUAGAACCAUCUCCUGGCCACAUUGGCCGCCUCUUGGAAAGAAAUCUCACUCCUAGUCUCCUUGGCCAUCUGAUGUCGAAUAGGCUGGAUAAGUCCCUUAAUGAACCUCCUCACCCUUUCUUUCUCAGUGGGAAGUAUGAUAAGAGCAUAACGAGUCAAGUCAAUGAAUCUAGUCUCAUACUGAGUAACAGUCAUAGAACCCUGUUGGAGAUGCUUAAACUGCCUCCGAUAGGCCUCUCUCUGAGUAAUAGGGAGAAACUUCUCCAGAAAUAGCUGAGUAAACUGAUCCCAAGUCAAAGCUGGUGAUACGGCUGGCCUAGCUAAGCAAUAAUCUCUCCACCAAGUCUUGGCGGAUCCAGACAAGCGAAAAGUAGCAAAAUCGACCCCAUUGGUCUCCACGAUCCCCAUAUUCCUGAGAACCUCAUGACAGCUGUCAAGAUAAUCCUGGAGAUCCUCAGAAGAUGCACUGCUGAAAGUAGUAGUGAAGAGCUUGGUGAACCUGCCCAACCUCCACAAAGCAUUGGCAGACAUAGCUGCUGCAUCACCGGUCUGAGCUAUCAUACCCGGCUGAACUACUCCAACUGCCUGAACUGCUGGAGUAUGGAACUGGGGAGCUACCUGCUCCAGAGUGCGAGUAGCAGGAGUCUGGGCUCCUCCUCCAGCCUGAGAGACAGCUGGGGCUACAGGAAGCAAGCUUGCCCAGAUGACACUCUCCAUAAGGCCCACUAGAUGGACCAGAGCAUCCUGGAGUACUGGGGUAGCAAUAAACCCCUUUGGGACAUGAGCUCUACCCCUACCUCGGCCUCUAGCACGACCUCGGCCUCGCCCUCUGCCCUUCGUGGGAGCUGCUGCUCAGUGGAUGAGGAAGUGCGUGUUCUCUCUAUCUGCGAAAGAAUAGAGUAGAAAUUCAAUUAGCAUUGAGAAACCAAAUCGCACGACAUGAAGGAAUAAAUGUGAAGUUUUUCCUAACUCUGUAGCCUCUAGGAGAUAAAUACAGACGUUUCCGUACCGAUCCCUCAGACUCCACUAAUCUUGUCUGUAAACUGUGAGACCCAUGUAACCUAGAGCUCUAAUACCAACUUGUCACGACUCGAAUUUUUCACCCUCGAGAGCCGUGAUGGCGCCUACUGGUGAAAGCCAGGCAAGCCAAAUUAUUCNNNNNNNNNNNNNNNNNNNNNNNNNUUAAUCAUAAUACAAACUACGAAAGUCUAAAUACAACUCUACCCAGAAUUUGGUAUCACAGCUUCACAGACGGUCUAAGAAUACUACAUACAAAGUCUAAAAGAUAAAAUACAUAUUGUUUCUGAAAUGAGUAAAGGAAACAAGAUAAAGGAAAGAUAGGAGAUGUCGCCAAGGCCCACGGAUGCCUGCAGGACAACCUCGGGUUGCCUGUUGGACUGAAGGCAGUAAUCUCACUGCGGUCCGAAGUCUACAACACUGGGAUCUGCAUAAAAGAGUGCAGAGUGCAGUAUCAGCACAACCGACCCCAUGUGCUGGUAAGUGUCUAGCCUAACCUCGGCGAAGUAGUGAUGAGGCUAGGACCAGACUACCAAAUAAACUUGUGUAGUUAUAUCAUAAACAGCGGAAAUAGAAGCAGAUAAUUGCCAUUAAAAUUAGGCAGGGGAAACAUGCUUCGGGAAAUAACAGAUAACAACAGAAUAUCAAGAGAAUAUAAAGAAACAAAAAUCCAAUUACUAACAUGGAUAGGGAAAACAAAUGUAGAGUUUACUUUUAUUUCACAUUUCGUUGCAGGCGUGCAACCAGAUCCCAUUUCAUGUAUCUCGUUGCAGGCGAGCAACCCGCUCCCAUUUCGCAUAUCUCGUUGCAGGCGUGCAACCCGCUCCCAUUUCACAUAUCUCGUUGUAGGCAUGCAACCUGAUCCCAUUUCAUAUAUCUCAUUGCAGGCGUACAACCUGCUCCCAUUUCACAUAUCUAGUUGCAGGCAUGUAACCCGCUCCCAUUUUACAUAUCUUGUUGCAGGCGUGCAACCCGCUCCCAUUUCAUAUAUUUCCGUUUCAGCGUGCCACCCUAUCCCAUUUACAAAUCAACAAUAAUCACGAAAGAAUUCCGGUAAGGGAACAAUUAUAUUUCAACAACAUCCCGACAAGGGAACAAUAAUAUCAAGACAAACAUCCCGGCAAGGGAACAAUAAUAUGACAAUAACAUCAUGGCAAGGGAACAAUAAUGAUAAUAACGUCCCGGCAAGGGAACAAUAAUGAUAAUAACAUGUGAAGCGCAAAGAACUACAACGGAGUCAUAACAAUUACAAUACAAGACUCAUGGGCAUGCUUGACACCGACGUAUAGAUACUCGGGACCAUGCCUAUACGUCGUACUCCACAAUUAAAACUUAGCAAAUAAGACACGACUCCUAAUCCCUCAAGCUAAGGUUAGACCAAACACUUACCUCGAUGCCACGAACAUAAUUCAAGCCUCUACUAUCCCUUUACCUCAUGAUUCCACCACCAAUUCGCUCGUAUCUAGCCAUAAGUUACUUAAUUACAUCAAUAAAUGCUAAAUGAAUCAAUCCUAAUACAUGAAAAAUGAGUUUUCUAAAGUUUUUCCCAAAAAGUCAAAAAUUACCCUAGGCCCACAUGGUCAAAACCCGGGUUCAAACCAAAAUCCGAUUACCCAUUCCCCCACGAAUCCAAAUAUAUAAUUUGUUUUGAAAUCGGACCUCAAAUCGAGGUCCAAAUCCCCAAUUUUUGAAAAACCUAGGAUUUACCCAAAACACCCAGUUUUCCCCAUGAAAAUUAUUGAUUUUUAGUUGAAAUUAAGUGAAAAGAUGUUAAAGAUUGAAGUAUACUAGUUAAAAUUGACUUAUAAUCGAUUUGGAAGAAAAGUUGCCUUUGAAAAAUUGCCCAAGAGUGUUUUGAUUUUAAAAGAGUGUGAAAAAUGAAAGAUUUUCGGCUAAGUUAUAAAAUUGCAAGUCGUAGAUAUGGGAAUUGCGACCAGGGUUCGCAAUUGUGAACACAGACUUCUGCUAAGUUCGCAUUUGCGAAUGCAAUGUCGCAUUUGCGACUGAAGUCUCGCAUUUGCGACCAAAGGGGAUUUCAGGCAGUUGUCGCAUUUGCGACAGUCACUUCGCAUUUGCGAAGAAGGAAGCCCAGGUCAUAUCUCGUAUUCGCGACACAUUGCUCGCAUUUGCGAGACAGGCUUCGCAUCUGCAGGCUUGUAGCAUACCAGCAAUUCCCUAAGUUAAAAUUUCACACCGUGGCCUAUCCAAAACUCACCCGAGCCCUCGAGGCUCCAACCUAAACAUGCACACCAUCCUAAAAACAUCAUGUGGACUCGCUCGUGCAUUCAAAUUACUAAAAUAACAUUAACAACUAUGAAUUUAACAUCAAAAUCAUGAAAUUUCUCAAGAACUUCAAAUUUUCUAUUUUCCUCAAAAACGAUCCGAUUCACGUAGUUUCAAGUCCGUUUCAUACCAAACUUCACAAACUUAUCUUAAAUCACAUAUAAGACAUAUACCGGGCGCCAGAACCAAAAUACGGGCCCGAUACCAUCGAGUUUUCAACUCAUUUCAUUUCCAAAACUCAGAAAUAAUUUCAGAAAAUUAUUUUCUUUAAAAAUUUAUUACUCGGGCUUGGGACCUCGGAAUUCGAUUCCGGGCAUACGCCCAAGUCCCAUAUUUUCCUACGGGCCCUCCGGGACCGUCAAAUCACGGGUCUGAUUUCGUUUAUCUAAAUUAUUGACCGAAGUCAACUUAAAUCCAUUUUACAGUUAAAAUUCAUCAUUUUUCACAGAUUUUCACAUAAUGGCUUUCCGGAUACACGUCCGGACUGCGCACGUAAAUCGAGGUAAUACCGAAAGAGGUUUUUAAGGCCUCGGAAUGCAGAAUUCAUUUUAAAACAAGUGAAAGGUCAUCACAGUUUCUCUAAAAUUUUAAGGUUUAGUCUCAACUCUUAUUUGAGCUAGUUUCAUAUGCAUUUUCCCUAAAAUAUAGCUAACAACUAAAUUGUAUAAGACAUAAUAUGACUGGCUAGUAAUGAAUACUGCAGUAGGAACUGUUUGUAAAUCUGUCCCCAUAUAACUACUAUAUAAACCCCAAAAAAUGGCGGAAAAAGAAUGAGAAUAGCACGCUGAUAAAUAUAUCGUCUUUGUUAUAUGUAAAGCUCACACUUUGCAAAAUUCAUAAUAUCUUACAUAUAUUCACCAUUGGAUGUACAUCCAUAGAAGGAGAGUGCAUAUAUAAUAUAUUCUUCAAACACAACAUUAUUUAUUUCACACGCAGCUAGUUACAACUAGCCAAUAUUGCCAAAUAUUCAUCACGCACACACAGAAAUAUGUAUAUGACAUGUGUGCAUAUAUAUAUAUAUAUAUAUAUAUAUAUAUAUAUAUAUAUAUAUAUAUAUAUAUAUAUAUAUAUAUANNNNNNNNNNNNNNNNNNNNNNNNNAUUCUGAUGAUCCACAGCUUCAAUCACCUGCUUACAUAUCUUAUCGUUUCCAUCUAUAAUCAAUAAAGUUGGAAAACACAGAUGUUAGUCGAUGUUCAAUUGUCUAGUUCCUCAUAUAAAAGAUAUAAACAUCCGGAAUAACAUAUUUUCUUCCUUUGUUUUUCAUUUUCAUUUUCUCCAAAAUUUAUUUGAAGCUCACAAAGAUUGGACGUGCUAUAUUUUUCCUGAAUAAAAUUAUCAUUAAAAAUCUCAAAAGAGCAGUUGGCAUUGUGGAAAACAUUGAAUUAGUAGGGGAAAACAAGCUUAAAAUUGAUUAUAUUGAGUUUGGUAUGAUAAGGAAUUUUCCUUGAGAAAUAUUUUUUUUAAAAAUAUAUUUGGUAAAAAAAUUCAAUGCUUGGUAAUUGGUGAGUGAAAAAUAUUUCAUGUAUAUAUUAUAUUGAAUGCUAGUAAUAAUAUUAGCAAAUAGAGUGUUAAUAAGUUUUUGAGUAUUAUCAAUAAUAUGUCUAACUGUUAGUUGGAUCAAGUAAUAUGAAGUCAAACAUUAAGAUAGUUAUUAGAAAAGUGACUUUCCCAUUUUGAUGCAAAUCAUUUUAUGGUAACCAAAAACAUCAUCAAAUAAUGUUUUCAUGAAAACUUUUUUUAUUGAAUAAAGACUUUUUGACAUAUUAAAUACACUCAAAUGCAAAAACUGAUACAAGUAAAUAAUAUAUAUGUAUAGAGAGAAAAAAUAUGAAUUACAUACCGUCAUUAUAUUUCCAGCUAACAAUCGAACCAACUUUUACGGUUUCACCUUCAUCAAUAUCAAAUUUGUGAACCUUACCAGGACUUAUGUUGGAUAUAUGAUGAGUAUUGGUAUGAAAAAUGUCAUGAAUCAGGUGUCCUCCACACUUCACCUCUACUGAAGCAAUCAACUUCCCUUUCACACCCAUAUUUUCUUCGAUAUAGAAGAAAACUUGAGAAAAGGAAGCGGUGAGAAAAAGUUGAGAGGCUGUAGUCUUUAUAUAGAUUAUGUUCUUAGUUAUUAUUAUUAAAUAUAUUAUGUUCUAGUUAGCUGCAUGAAAAGCUAGUAUAAAACAUGAUCCAUGACAACUCAUGUUUUUUAUUAGUGGAGGUGGAAGAUAAAUGUCAGCUCAUCGCGUGUACUAUUAGAUCAUCGCCAUAAAAUUCUAACCAUUUGGCUUAUUUUCAAAAGGGAAAAGGUCUAAACUUUCCCCUAAUGUAUUCGAUUGAGAUUGGAUUUAUCUUCCAUUAAAAAAGUAGCCUAUUCGUACAAAUUACCCUGCCAAUAUAUAAAUAGUUCAAAUUUACCCUUCUCGGCUAAUGAUUGUGAAUUAUCCAAAUUAAAUGCCACCUGAAAUUUUUUAUUAACUCCUAAUCUAACUAGAGGGUGUUUGGCUAAGCUUAUAAGCUGAUCAAACUAGCUUAUAAACACUUUUCAACUUAUUUACGCGUUUGGUAAGUUAAAAGUGCUUAUAAGUAAAAAAAUAAGCCAAAAGCCAUAAGCUGGUCACCCCAUCUUAUGAAUUUUUAGCUUAUUAGCACUUUAAGUUUGACCAAGAUUUUUACUAUUUUAUCCUUAAAAUAUUCCUCUUUAGAACAAAACUCCUACAUCGGUACUCACUGCCUCAAGUAUUUUUUCAACCUAAACCCCCUCCCCCCUCCCCUUUUCCACCCCGCCUCUUCAAGUUUGCAAUUCUCAUUGACUAUUUAAUAUAAGCAAAUUCUCUAUUCCUUUGCGUAUUUGUAUUUAUGUGAUUGCUUAUUAAUUUUUGAACUAUAUGUAAUAAAUGAGGACAUAUUAAAUUUUUGAUGUAUUGCUUUCUAAGUGUUGUGGUGAUGAAGACAUUGUUUGUUUCUCUUCAAAUAUUUUGUCCUAUUUAGGUUUAUUUUUUAUUGAGAAACUUUGUCAAUUUAUUAAUUAUUAUAACUUAUGAUUAUAUGCUUAUCAUAAAAAUUAUCUUAUCUAAGCAAGGUUGUAUUUAAAAUAAAAUGACAAUAGAAUAUUUUGUAUUUGAAUCGAUCUGGAAUCUAAAAUUUUGAAGAAAUUACACCAUUAUAAGUGUAAACUAUUCUAAGGUUAUUUAAGUCAUCUUAACAGAAAAAGAGCUUAUCAACACUUUUUAAUUAAAUACUGCAUCAACUUAUUAUCAAUUUCAGCACUUGUAUCCAAACACGUAAUUGCUUAUUUAAUAAAUCAGUUUUAGCACUUAAAAGUGCUUUUCAACACAUAAUACUUAUGAGCUAUUUCAAAUGAGCUAAUCCAAACGGGCUCCUAGUAGACCCUCCUCCUUUUCUAUCGGUAGCAACGUCAAAAAGACCAUGUUCUCAUCAGCCGUCGGAGUUAUAUUUCUAGGUCGCGACCAACAAAAUCAAGGCCGUCGUCAGUCAAAAUAUUUUCAAUGAUGGGGAUCUCCUUUUUUUUGGAUCUGAUAAAGGGCUUCAUGGGGUGAAGAAGAUGUGAAACUGUGGCAAAGAAGAUAAAAGAUGAUAAAGUAUCAAGGGGUUGUCAGAGUUCACCUAUGAGAUUUAGUAUUUUUUUUAAUGGUGUUUUGAUUUUAACGGCAGUUGAAAGUUUGUGAGAAGUAAAUUGAGACAAGGAAGAGGUCCACAUUUGCCAUGGGAAAAUGAAGAGAAAGAGGAAGGAAGAAGGAGGUCCCAACCGACAAAUUUUCCAGUAAGGUUCAAGAUGGUGCUCCCAUGGUUGUUGCCCAAUUGUUGUAUACGUGAGGUGCAAAUGUAUUUGUGUAAGAAUAAGAGUGAAGAGAGUAAGGAAAAAGGGGCGGCUAUGAGUUAAAAACUGAGAGAGGGCCCGGUGCAUUAAGUGUCACGAUCCAAAUUUCUCAUCGUCGGAAUCGUGAUGCCGCCUAACAUCGCACUGACUAGGCAAGCCAGCGUUAGAGUUUUAUUCACCUUUUUCCUUUACUUUUUAUAAUUAAAAUUUAGCAGAAACUAAAUCAACGGAAAUAAAAGCGGAAGUACAUAUUUAAUUGAUUAUCCUUAUACUAUUAACAAAAUCGAACGGUUACAACCCAGAAACUAGUGUCACAACUACGAACAUUCUAUGAAUAACUACAAGCAUGGGUUUGAAAGAAAAUACAUCUGUCUCGAAGAAAGUAAAAUAGAAAUGAGAAAAAUAUAGGAGGGGACGCUAGGGCCUGCGGAUGCCUGCAGGACUACCUUGGGUCUCCUGGAUGAAUGCCUGCAACCGACCUUUUGAUCAUUCACAACCAGCUUCGAAAUCUGCACAGAAAGUUCAGAGUGCAGUAUCAGUACAACCGACCACAUGUACUAGUAAGUGCCGAGCCUAACCUCGACGAGGUAGUGACGAGGCUAAGGCUGAGCUUAUACAAUAUAACCUGCAAUAGUAUAUGAUAAAAUAAAAGGAAAUACGGAACGAAUUGAAACACUAACUUGCAGCAAAGUAAAUAUGGAACCCAGAUAUUUUGCCAGUACUCAGCUAUAACCUAUCCUAAAGAGAGUUACAAUGUUGCGGAAUAAAAUCACAUCAGAGGAAGAAUACAUAAACAACAAAAUGAUGCGUCACACAUCCUGAUCCCACCACAUAACAAGUAACAAUAUGAACAUUUACCCUUAUUACUCCUUAUUGUGGUAUGCAACCUGAUCCUACCAGUCCACCCUUAUUACUCCACAAUAUAUCACCCUUAUUCCUCCUAUUGCGGCGUACAACCCGAUCCUACCUAUCCACUCUUAUUACUCCUUGUUGCGGCGCGUAACUCGAUCCCACCAAACAAUCACAUUUCACCCUUAUUCCUCCUGUUGCGGCGUGCAACCCGAUCCCACCAUAUCAGUACCAAUCACAAAAUAAGAACAAGCAUUUCACUAUUUAACUCCAAACCCUCCAUGACAUUUAUAUCUCAAAUCAAAAUAACUGGAAAUCUAUACAAUUAUGAAACUUCAUCAGUUAGUACUACACAGCGAGACCAACCAAAGUGUACCAUGAAACACCAAUAAACCAACUUAAACCAACAAUGUAAUAUAAUGAAACUACAGAACAAUUAAUACCUUCAAUAAAGAAAACAACAUUUAAGAAGAAGCAAUUAGACAUGGAAACAUCAAUACACAAGUAACAGUUAAAACAGGAAAAUAAUAUAUUAGGAACGGGGAAGGGAAUAGGCCAAACAGAUAAUUUGGCGGUGUAUAGGUACUCGUCACCACACCUAUACGCCACACACAUGGAAUUUUACAUAGAAAUUAAGUCGGGGAUCCCUAAUCCCUAGAGUCAAGGUUAGACCAAACACUUACCUCAAGCCAAUGGGUAAUUCAAAGCUCAGUUACAGCUUUCCCUCUCGAUUACAUCUCCAAUCAACUCGUAUCUAGUCAUAAUUAACUUAAUAACAACAUUUAUCGCUAAAGAAAUCAAUUCCAAUGCAUAAUUAUAUGUUUCCCAACAUUUCCCCCAAAAAGUCAAAAAUCGACCCCGGGCCCACUUGGUCAAAACCCGAAAUUUGAAUCAAAACCCGAUUACCCACCCCCGAGCCUGGAUAUACAAUUGUUUUUGGAAUCCGACCUCAAUUUGAGGUUUAAAUCCCCAAAUUUCGAAAUUCCUAAGUUCUACCCAAAAAUCCCCAAUUCCACCAUGAAAACCCUAGAUUCUAGGAUGAAAUCUUGUGAAAAGAAGUAAAAGAUUGAAAGAAAUAAGUUAAGAAUCAUUUACCUAUGAUUUGGGGAAGAACUAGCCUUUAGAAAAUCGCCUCUUGAAGUUUUAGUUUUGAAAAAAGGGAGAAUGAAUGAAAAAUCCCGUCUAAGUAUAAAGUUAUUAGCUGCAGAUGUCGCAUUUGCGACCUUAGCUUUGCAAAUGGGAAGCUCGCAAUUGCGAAGGGACUAUCGCAAUUGCAAAGACUUCACAAUCCUACUGCCAUCGCAAAUGCAAAGAAAGUGUCGCAUUUGCAAACAGUGUUCCUCGCAAAUGCGAGAAAUAGAUCCCAUUUGCGAUCGUACCACUCCCAAUCUCCCUUCGCAUUUGCAAAGGAUUGUUCGCAUUUGCGAACUCUGCUGGCCCAGCCUUCUAAUCGCAAUUGCGAUGAAAGGCUCGUAAAUGUGGACCCUAUAGGGCUCGCAAUUGCGAUGCCUGAUCUCGCAAUUGCGAGAUCAGGGGCCUGCAACAAGCUGAAGCAUGCUAGCAAUAUCCUCUAAGUUCCAAAUCACUCUGUGGCCUAUCCAAAAUCACCCGAGCCCUCGGGGCUCCAAACCAAAUAUUCACACAAGUCUUAAAAUAUCAUACAAACUUACUCGUGCGAUCAAAUUGCUAAAAUAGCAUCUAAAACUACGAAAUUAACACCAAAACACAUGAGAUUAUCAAGAUAGUUCAAAACUUUUAUUUUCUCAACCCAAGGCCCGAAUCACGUCAAAUAAACUCCGUUUUUCACCAAAUUUCACAGACAUGACUUAAAUAUCAUAUUAAACCUAUACCGGGCUCCGGAACCAAAAUACGGGUAUGAUACCGAUGAGAACGCAACAUUAAUCAAUUUUUUUAAAUCCUUAUUAUUCCAGUUUAACAAUUUCAUCAAAAAAUUAUUCCUUGGGCUAGGGACCUCGAAAUUUGAUUCCGGGCAUACGUCCAGGUCCCAUAUUUUACUACGAAUCCUCCGAGACCGUUGAAAUACAGGUCCGGGUCCGUUUACUCAAAAUGUUCACCAAAGUCAACUAAAAUCAACUUUUAAAGACAAAAAUUAUUAUUUUCUCAAAUUUCCACAUAAAGGGUUUUUGGAAUCGCGCCCGGACUACACGCGUAAAUUGAGGAGAGAUAAAAAAUGAUUUUAAUGCCUCAAAAUGCGGAUUGGAGUUCUAAAACAGAAGAUGACCUUUUGGAUAAUCACAUUCUCCACCUCUAAAAUAACCAUUCGUCUUCGAAUGGACAUAGAAAAGUACUUGAGUCGGUGAAAAGAUGGGGAUAUCUGUUCCGCAUAUCAGACUCAGACUCCUAGGUAGCUGCAUCAACAGGCUGACCUCUCCACUGCACAUGAUCCGAAUGAUAACUCUUCAUUCUCAACUGACAAACAUGCUGGUCUAGAAUAGCUACCGGUGCCUCCCAUAGGUCAAAUUCUCGUCCAACUGGACAGUGCUGAAGUCUAACACGUGGGAUAGAUAGUUGUGAUACUUCUGAAGCAUGGACACAUAAAACACUAGAUGCACUGCUGAUAAACCUGGUAGCAAUGAAAGUCAGUAAGCCACCUCUCCCACUAGAUCAAGGAUCUUAAAAAGCCCGAUGAACCUAAGGUUUAACUUGCCCUUCUUCCCAAAUAUCAUCACGCCCUUCAUGGGCGAUACCCGAAGCAACACUCUCUCUCCGACCAUAAAUGCUACAUCACGAACCUUACGACCGACAUAACUCUUUUGCCUGGACUGAGCUGUACGAAGUCUAUCCUGAAUGAUCUUAACCUUAUCAAAGGCAUCUUGUACUAGAUUUGUACCCAAUAACCGAGCCUCCCCCAAAUCAAACCACCCAAUCGGCAAUCAACAUCGUCUCUCAUAUAAUGCCUCAUAGGGAGCCAUCUGGAUGCUCGACUGAUAACUCUUGUUGUAGGAAAACUUUGCUAACGGAAAAGUUGAUCCCAAGAACCUCUAAAGUCAAUAACACAGGCGCAAAACAUUUCCUCCAAAAUUUGAAUAGUAUGCUCGGACUGUCCAUCCGUAUGAGGAUGAAAUGAUGUGCUCAACUCUACCCGCGUACCCAAUUCAUACUGUACUGCCCUCCAGAAAUAUGAGGUAAACUGCGUACCUCGAUCAGAAAUGAUAGCCACGGGCACACCAUGGAGACGAACGAUCUCAAGGAUAUAGAUCUUUGCCAACCGCUCCGAAGAAUAGGAAAUUUCCAUAGGAAUGAAAUGUGCCGACUUAGUCAGCCUAUCCACAAUGACCCAUAUUGUAUCGAACUUCCUCUGAGUCUGUGGGAGUCCAACAACGAAAUCCAUAGUGAUACGCUCCCACUUCCACUCAGGAAUUUCAAUCUUCUGAAGCAAAUCACCAAGUCUCUAAUGCUCAUACUUUACUUGCUGACAAUUCAAACACCAAGCUAAAUAUGCAACAAUGUCCUUCUUCAUCCUCCUCCACCAAUAAUGCUGCCGCAAGUCCUGAUACAUCUUAGCGGCACUCAGAUGAAUAGAAAACCGGUAACUGUAAGCCUCCUCUAGGAUCAACUCACGAAGUCCGUCCACAUUAGGCACACAAACACGACCUUGCAUCCUUAAAACUCCAUCAUCUCCCACUGUAACCUGCUUGGAAUCUCCGUGCCGUACUGUCCCUAAAGACAAGCAAAUGAGGAUUAUCAUACUACUGAUCUCUGAUACGCUCAAACAAGGAAGACCAAGCGACUAUACAGUCUAGAACACGACUGGGCUUAGAAACAUCCAACCUCACGAUCUGAUUGGCCAAAGCCUAAACAUCUAAUGCAAGGGGUCUCUGACCGACUGGAAUAUACGCAAGGCUGCCCAAACUAGCUGACUUCCUACUCAAAGCAUCGUCCACCAUAUUGGCCUUCCCGGGAAGAUACAAUAUGGUGAUAUCACAGUCUUUCAAUAGCUCCAACCACCUUUAUGCCUCAAAUUGAGCUCCUUCUAUUUGAAUAAAUACUACAAACUCUUAUGAUCCGUGAAUACCAUACACGACAUGUCAUAUGGAUAGUGACUCCAAAUCUUCAGCGCGUGAACAAUGGCUGCUAGCUCCAAAUCAUGAACUAGAUAAUUCUUCUCGUGAAUCUUCAACUGCCGCGAAGCAUAUGUAAUAACCUUGCCACCCUGCAUCAGUGUUGCACCAAGUCCAAUAUGAGAUGCAUCACAAUAUACUGUAUAUGGCCCUGAACCUAUGAGUAACACUAACACCGGCACGAUAGUCAAAGCUGUCUUGAGCUUCUGGAAGCUCACCUCACACUCAUCUAACCAUCUGAACAGGGCACCCUUCUGGGUCAACUUGGUCAUCAGGGCUGCUAUGGAUGAAAACCCCUCCACAAACUGACGGUAGUAACCCCCCAAACAUAGCAAACUCUGGAUCUCUGUAGCUGAUGUGGGUCUAGGCCAGUCCUUGACUAUCUCAAUCUUCUUAGGAUCCACCUGAAUACCCUUUACUAACAUGACCCAAGGAAGCAACUGAACCCAACCAAAACUCACCUUUCGAAAACUUAGCAUAUCACUGGUUGUCUCUCAGAGUCUGAAGAACGACUCAAAGAUGCUGCUCAUGCUUCUCUCGGCUGCGGGAGUAGAUCAAGAUAUCAUCAAUGAAAACAAUCACGAAGGAAUCUAUAUAGGGCUUGAACACCGGUUCAUCAAAUCCAUAAAUGCUGCUGGGCAUUUGUCAAUCCAAAUGACAUCACUAGGAACUCAUAAUGCCCAUACCGAGUCCAAAAGGCUGUCUUAGGGAUAUCGGAUGCCCUAAUCCUGAACUGAUGGUAGCCAUAUCUCAAAUCAAUAUUCAAAAACACUUUGGCACCCUAAUGCUGAUCAAAUAAGUCAUCAAUCCUCGACAAUUGGAUACUUGUUAUUGAUGGUGACCUUGUUCAACUGCCGAUAGUCUAUGCACAUCCUUGUCGACCCAUCCUUCUUCUUUACAAACAAUGCUGGCGCACCCUACGACAAGACACUAAGUCUAAUAAAGCCCUUAUCAAGCAAAUCUUUCAACUGCUACUUCAAUUCCUUCAACUCUGGCGGGCCAUACGGUAUGGCGGAAUAGAAAUGGGCGGAGUGCCCGAAGCCAAAUCAAUGCAAAAGUCGAUAUCCCUGUCAGGUGGCAUCCCCAACAGGUUUGUAAGAAAUACCUUUGGGAACUCCCGAACAACUGGUACAGAAUCUUUGGAAGGAACCUCUGCACUAAAUCACGAACAUAAGCCAAGUAAGCCAAACACCCCUUCUCGACCUUACGACGAGCCUUCAUAUAAGAAAUAACCAUGCUAGUAGAAUGACCAGGAGUCCCUCUCCAUUCUAAAUGAGAAAACCCUCGCAAGGCUAAGGUUACAGUCAUGGCAUGGCAGUCUAAUAUAGCAUGAUACGGUGAUAUCGAAUCUAUCCCCAAAAUGACAUCGAAAUCAACCAUAUCGAGAAGUAGGAGAUCUACGCUAGUCAAGAACCCUAAUAAUAACCACACAUGAACGAUAUAGACGAUCUACAACAAUAGAAUCCCCCACCUGUGUAGACGCAUACACGGGAGCACUUAAAGAAUCACGAGGCAUAACCAAAUAUGAAUAAAAUAUGAUGAAACAUAGGAGUAUGUAGACCCUGGAUAAAAUAGAACUGAAACAUCUCUACUACAAACCGAAACCGUACUUGUGAUAACAACAUCGGAUGCCUCAACCUCAGGCCUGGCUGGGAAGGCAUAACACCCAGGCUGGGCCCCACUAAUCUGAAUCAUAUCACUGGGACGGCCUGCUGUUGGUUGGCCUCCACCUCUAGCGGCCUGACCUCCACCUCUAAUGGCCUGACCUCCACCUCUAGCGAGUUGACCCCUACCUCUAGUUCCCUAUCCCCUACCUCUAGAUGGCUAAGCGAGCGGUGCUGGGAUCAUGGCACGAGAACUCUACUGCUGUGACUGAACAACCAAUAAUCUCGAACAGGUCCUAUGGAUAUGCCCAUACUCACCACAUUCUAAGAAUCCAUCUGAAUACUGCAGGUGAGGAAACUGAGACUAACUCUGAUGAGCCGGCUGACCGCAAUAAAAACUCUAAAGAGGAGGUGCUCUGAUAGGAGCUGGCGGUGCACUAUAAGCUGGCCACCCUGAAGGAGGUACAUAAGGACCACGACCCCCCCCGAAGCUCCAUGGGAUGUAUGAAGUGUUGAAUGAAACAACCUAUGAUUACGACCUCUACCAAAAGUACCCCAACCUCCAGAUGAGGCCCCACUGAAUCCACCAGAAUGACGAGGCCUCUUGUCAGACCCCUGACCACUCACCUGAGCUAAAACCAUCUCAACUCGUCUAGCCACAUUGGCCGCAUCCUGGAAAGAAAUCUCACUCCAUGUCUCCCUAGAAAUCUGCAAUCUGCAAUCUGAGAGGCUGAGCAAGUCCCUCAAUAAACCUUCUCACCCUCUCUCUCUCGAUGGAAAGUAUAAGAAGAGCAUGACAGGCCAAAUCAACAAAUCUGGUGUCGUACUGAGUGACGAUCAUAGAACCCUACUGAAGACGCUCGAAUUGCCUCUAAUAAUCCUCUCUCUGAGUGAUAGGAAGAUACUUCCUAAAAAAUAGCGGAGAGAACUGGUCCCAAGUGAGAGUUGGCGACCCACCUGGUUUGGCCAAACAAUAAUCCCUCCACCAUUUCUUGGCGGAACCUAACAGACGAAAACUACCAAACUCGACCCUAUUGGUCUCCACUAUCUGCAUGUUCCGUAAUACCUCGUGACAACUGUCCAAAGAGUCCUGGGGAUCAUUUGAAUAUGUACCACCAUAGGUAGUGGUGAAAAUCUUGGUAAACCUAUCCAAUCUCCACAAGGCAUCAGAAGACAUAGCUGAUCCGUCGCCGGUCUGGGCUACAACACCCGGCGGAACUACCCCAACUGGCUGAGCUGCUAGAGUCUGAAACUGAGGAGCCAUCUUCUCCCGAGUGUGAAUAGCGGGAGUUUGUGCUCAUCCCCCAGCCCAAGAGACGGUUGGUUCAAACCAAAACCCGAUUACCCAUUCCCCCACGAAUCCAAAUAUAUAAUUUGUUUUGAAACCAGAUCUCAAAUCGAGGUCCAAAUCCCCAAUUUUUGAAAAACCUAGGAUUUACCCAAAACACCCAAUUUCUCCCAUGAAAAUCAUUGAUUUUGAGUUGAAAUCAAGUGAAAAGAUGUUAAAGAUUGAAGUAAACUAGUUAAAAUUGUCUUAUAAUCGAUUUGGAAGAAAAGUUGCCUUUGAAAAAUCGCCCAAGAGUGUUUUGAUUUUAAAAGAGUGUGAGAAAUGAAAGAUUUUCGGCUAAGUUAUAAAUUGUAGGUUGCAGAUAUGGGAAUUGCGACCAGGGUUCGCAAUUGCGAACACAGACUUCUGCUAAGUUCGCAUUUGCGAAUGCAAUGUCACAUUUGCGAAGUCGCAUUUGUGACUGAAGUCUGGCAUUUGCGACCAAGGGAACUGGUCCCAAGUGAGAGCUAGCGACCCACCUGGUUUGGCCAAACAAUAAUCCCUCCAUCAUUUCUUGGCGGAACCUGACAGACGAAAACUACCAAACUCGACCCUAUUGGUCUCCACUAUCUGCAUGUUCCGUAAUACCUCGUGACAAUUGUCCAAAGAGUCCUGGGGAUCAUUUGAAUAUGUACCACCAUAGGUAGUGGUGAAAAGCUUGGUAAACCUAUCCAAUCUCCACAAGGCAUCAGAAGACAUAGCUGAUCCGUCGCCGGUCUGGGCUACAACACCCGGCGGAACUACCCCAACUGGCUGAGCUGCCAGAGUCUGAAACUGAGGAGCCAUCUUCUCCCGAGUGUGAAUAGCGGGAGUCUGUGCUCAUCCCCCAGCCCGAGAGGCGGCUGGUGCUAUGGGGAAUGUACCGGCCUGAGCAACACUCUCUAUAAGGCCCACUAGACGGACCAAAUCAUCCUAAACUGCCAGGGUAGCGAUGAACCCCUUUGGGACCUGAGCUGGCCCCCCUGGAACGGUCUUGUUGUACCAUGAAGCACCAAUAAACCAACUUAAACUAACAAUCUAAUAUAAUGAAGCUACGGAACAAUUAAUACCUUCAAUAGAGAAAACAAUAUUUAACAAGAAGCAAUUAGACAUGGAAGCAUCAACAAGUAAGUAGCAGUAAAAAUAGGAAAAUAAUAUAUUAGGAACGAGGAAGGGAACAUGCCAAACAGAUAAUUUUGCAGUGCAUAGAUACUCAUCACCACACCUAUACUCCACAGACAUGGAAUUUAACAUAGCAAUUAAGUCGAGGAUCCCUAAUCCCUCGAGUCAAGGUUAAACCAAACACUUACCUCAAGCCAACAGGUAAUUCAAAGCUCAAUUACCGCCUUCCCUCUCGAUUCCACCUCCAAUCCACUCGUAUCUAGUCAUAAUUAACUUUAUAACAUCAAUUAUCGGUAAAGAAAUCAUUUCCAAUGCAUAAUUAUUGGUUUCCCAAUAUUUUUCACAAAACGUCAAAAACCGACCCCGAGCCCACUGGGUCAAAACCUGAAAUUCGGACCAAAACCUGAUUACCCAUUCACCCCGAUCCCGAAUAUACAAUUAGUUUUGGAAUCCGACCUCAAUUUGAGGUCUAAAUCCCAAAAUUUUGAAAUUCCUAAGUUCUACCAAAAAAUUCCCAAUUCCACCAUGAAAACCCUAGAUUCUAGAAUGAAAUCUUGUGAAAAGAAUCAAAAGAUUAAAAUAAAUGAGUUAAGAAUCAUUUACCUGUGAUUUGGGGAAGAACUAGCCUUUGGAAAAUUGCCUCUUGAAGUUUAGGUUUUGAGAAAUGGGAGAAUGAAUGAAAAAUCCCGUGUAAGUCUAAAGUUAUCAGUUGAAGAUGUCGCAUUUGCGACCGGAGCUUCGCAAAUGCGAAGCUCGCAAUUGCGAAGGGAUUAUCGCAAUUGCGAAGCCUUCACAAUCCUGCUGCCAUCGCAAAUGCAAAGAAAGUAUCGCAUUUGCGAACACUGUUCCUCGCAAAUGCGAGAAAUAGAUCGCAUUUGCGAUAGUACCCCUCCCAGUCUCCAUUUACAUUUGCGAAGGUUUGUUCGCAUUAGCGAACUCUGCCGGCCCAGCCUUCUAAUCGCAAUUGCGAUGAAAGGCUCGCAAAUACGGACCCUGCAGGGCUCGUAAUUCGAUGCCUGAUUUCGCAAUUGCGAGAUCAGAGGCCUACAACAAGCUAAAGCAUACCGGCAAUAUCCUCUAAGUUCCAAAUCACUCUGUGGCCUAUCCAAAACUCACCCGAGCCCUCGGGGCUCCAAACCAAACAUGCAUACAACUCUUAAAACAUCAUACGAAUUUGCUCGUGUGAUCAAAACACCAAAAUAACGUCUAAAACUACGGAUUUAUCACCAAAACACAUGAAAUUUUCAAGAUAGUUCAAAACUUCUAUUUUCUCAACCCAAGAUCUGAAUCACGUCAAAUAAACUCCGUUUUCACCAAAUUUGACAGAUAUGACUUAAAUAUCAUAUUAAACCUAUAUCGGGCACUGGAACCAAAAUACGGGCCCGAUACCAACGAGAUCACACAUUAAUCAAUUUCUUUAAAUCCUUAUUAUUCCAGUUUAACAAUUUUCAUCAAAAAUUCAUUUCUCGAGCUAGGGAUCUUGGAAUUCGAUUCCGGGCAUGUACCUAGGUCCUAUAUUAUACUACGGAUAUGCCGGGGCCGUCGGAACACGGGUCCGGGUCUGUUUACUCAAAAUGUUGACCGAAGUCAACUAAAAUCAACUUUUAAAGGCAAAAAUUAUCAUUUUCUCAAAUUUCCACUUAUAGGCUCUUCGGAAUCGCGCUCCGACUGCGCACGCAAAUUGAGGAGAGAUAAAAUGAGGUUUUUAAGGCCUCGGAAUACGGAUUCGAGUCCUAAAACAAAAGAUGACCUUUUGGGUCAUCACACUAAGCUCCCGUUAUGCGCCGGGUCCGGGGAAUUACCGGACCACAAGGGUCUAUCGUACGCAGCCUUACAUUGUAUUUCUGCAAGAGGUUGUUUUCACGACUCAAACCCAUGGCCUCCUGAUCACCUGACAGCAACUUUACCAGUUACACCAAUAAUCCCCUUCGAGUUAGAAACUGAGAGAGAAUGAUGAAAACUAGUGUUUGAUAGAUAGGAGGCAUUUAAUUAAUUGUAUUAGAAUAUUUUUAAAAAGAAAAAUAGAAAAACAAUUUUUAAUUUGGCUAGUUCACUUGUGUUGGCCAAAAAGGGUAAAUCUGAGCCAUUUGUGUAACGGCAAGGUAAGAAUAUGCCAUUUUUGUGGAAGGAUAAAUCUACUCUAAAUCAUCUACUUUAUGGGUAAAUUUAGACAUUUUUCCUUUUAAAAAUGCGGAAGAUAAAGUUUAUAGAUUGCCAUAAGGGAUUCAUUUUAUAGUCAAGUUUGAAACUUUCAACUAAGAUUCUUUACUUAAGUCCCAAAAAAGUAUGAAUUAGUUUUACUAUUACUGUUAUUUAAAAGUUGUAAUUGCUCUCUAUACUUUUUUGUUCUUUUAGCUUAACUUCAUAACAAUAUUAUAUAUAUUCAUGGUAGAAAAAGAGAUGGAGAUCUGAAUUAUAUGGAACACGAUGCAUUAUUCAUGAGAUAAGUCAAGCAGUCUUAAGAUUCUUUUCUCAUGUUAUUAAGCACGAGGAGUUAAGUUGGAGGUUCAACUUUAAAACCAAUCUACCUAAUACCAACUCAAAGCGAAAAAGCGGGAAGAAAAGUCGUUUAGAAGAAAUUAUUGAUCCUUAAUAAAUUACAAUAUUAAAAAAAAAUUAUAUCUAUUUAAGGUGGAGAAAGAGAUAGAUACGUGAUUUAUAAUGGAAAAGGAUGCGUUGUCCAUGAAACAUUUUGUUCAUGGUAUUAAUGGUAGUAAUUGUUGAGGAACAAACGUUAUAUAGAAGAACUAAUCUAGCUACUUACUUCACUCUAAGGAAAAAUAAAAGCAUUGUGAUAUUUGUCUACAAAUGUAUAUUUUUUAGUGCAUUGUUUAGCUUACAUUUUGAUGUUUAAUAUUACUAUGUGCAACGUUUGAACUUAAUUAAGUAAUUUUUAUGUGUAGGAUCAUUGAAAUAUAAAGAAGAGUGAAGAUUGCACACAAGAAUCUCGAUAAUACAAGAAAAAGAGCAUGAAAAAGCGAAACCGGAAGAAGCCAAGAUCCAGGCACCAGAUCAGGCGACGCCUGGCUCCUGCUGACCAAUAUCUUGCACCCAGCCUCGUGAGGCGAGGUUCCCUGUGCGCACUGGGCCUCAUGAGGUAUGGUGCCUAGUACUCCCCCAGUCCGUGAAUUAAAUAUUUUCUACUCGGUUUUGGACUUAGAGACUCCGACUCUAACCUAUAAAUACUUCUUAAACGUGCUUAGUGAAGGGUUGAACGAUUUUUUAGGCAACGAGGGAUUAGGAACGCAAUGGAGCACAAAUUUCAUUGUUUCUUCCAUCCUCCAUCUCGUAUUCAUAGCUUUUAUGUUUAAAAAUAAUACUUUGAUUGUUGUUACGAACAUGAGUGGCUAGAAACCCAUUUGUUCCGGAGUUAUGGUUUGUUAUUGACUAUUAUUGUUUGAUGGUUGAUGAUAUCACAUGAUUCUA